UCCGAUAUGGUGUAAUGGCUAACAUGGCCGCCUUUCAUUUGUGCUUACGUAAGCCACGUGACACGUUGUGGUCGCGGCAGCUCGGGGUUCGAUUCCCCGUAUCGGAG